UACAGAGGUCUCAAGCGUUGUUCGGAUUCAUUGGGCGUAAAGAGCGUGUAGGCGGCCAGAUAGGUCCGUUGUGAAAACUCGAGGCUCAACCUCGAGACGCCGAUGGAAACCAUUUGGCUAGAGUCCGGAAGAGGAGAGUGGAAUUCCUGGUGUAGCGGUGAAAUGCGCAGAUAUCAGGAAGAACACCCGUGGCUAAGGCGGCUCUCUAGUACGGUACUGACGCUGAGACGCGAAAGCGUGGGGAGCGAACAGG
rnacentral:rRNA from 1 species